AUGGAUGUCAACAUGAGAAGGACAGAGGACGUGCUGGCGCACAAGCGGCUCCUGGAGCUGGCCAAGGAUUUGGUGCAGCGCCAGGCUUUCACCGUGGGGGUCGUGCAAAGAUAUGAUCUUGACCCUGCUCAAGCUGGUCCACACCGUUGUCACUGUAGCUCCUUCUCCGAGUCUCUUAUCAUCUGCUUUGCUGCCGGCUUGAAGUUGCAUGAUCUGAAGAAGAAUAACUCACGCCCAUUACCGCUAAUGUUUCAAUUAAAUGUCCACACAUCAUGUUCUCAUCUAUGGGAGUUCUUUUGUUGCAUAAUGCCCAGAACCUCUUUGCGUUAUUGA
rnacentral:rRNA from 1 species